rnacentral:rRNA from 1 species
GUGUGUAGGUGGCGCGCUAAGUUCCGUGUGAAAUCUCCCGGCUCAACCGGGAGGGUGCGCGGAAAACUGGCAGGCUAGAGUACGGGAUGGGAGAGUAGAAUUCCUGGUGUAGCGGUGAAAUGCGUAGAUAUCAGGAGGAAUACCGGUGGUGUAGACGGCUCUCUGGACCGUAACUGACACUGAAACACGAAAGCGUGGGUAGCAAACAGGAUUAGAUACCCUGGUAGUCCACGCCCUAAACGAUGCAUAUUUGGUGUAGGUCAUUCAGUUGAUCUGUGCCGGAGCUAACGCGUUAAAUAUGCCGCCUGGGGAGUACAGUCGCAAGGCUGAAACUCAAAGGAAUUGACGGGGGCCCGCACAAGCGGUGGAGCAUGUGGUUCAAUUCGACGCAACGCGAAGAACCUUACCUGGGCUCGAACGGCUAGUCAACGAUCGUGGAAACACGGUUACUCCGCAAGGGGGUCUAGUCGAGGUGCUGCAUGGCUGUCGUCAGCUCGUGUCGUGAGAUGUUGGGUUAAGUCCCGCAACGAGCGCAACCCUUGUCCUGUGUU